GCGGGUAUAGUGUAGUGACAACACGUCGGUCUCCAAAACCGAAGAUAUAGGUUUGAUUCCUAUUGCCUGUGCCA
rnacentral:tRNA from 2 species